UGCUGAGGAAGGUGCUCAUUGCAUUCAUUCAUAAGAGUAAUUAGGACCUCCCUGAGCGGA
rnacentral:pre_miRNA from 1 species